GCCGUGGAGACCGACGUCCCCCGCCCGUUCUCCCGCCGAGUGACCGGCCUCCUGGGGCUCCCUUGCUGCUGCCGCACCCUGAACUUGGGCUGUCCCGCUCCAUUGCAGUCCACAGGACCAUCCCCUUAGCUUUAACUUAACUGGGGAGUCUUUUAAGGAGGAGAAACCGCUAAGGUGGGUCUGUCGGGCUCUCCGCGGGGAAUCCCCCACGCUUCUUGCCUUGGCCUUGGAAGAGAUCAGUGCAGGCCCUCCUCCCCCCAGCUCCCACGUGACCCUCCAGGUCUUUGCAGUGGAACGCUUGAAUUUCAUCACACAUCUUUUUAGCGGGACUAGGGGUUUGCAGUACUGUCCUGCCUUCCAGAAAUGGCCCAGGCCGAGGCUCCUUUCUCUGGAACCCCUGAAGUUGGGCUGCCUCCCUGCAGCGGGCUGUGUGCCUCUGAGUGUUCAGUUUGAGUUCCUUUCCUUUGUGUCUCAGCUUUAAUUGUUUUGAAAAGGAACACUGAGUAUGUUUUGCAAUGGUUUCUCUCCCCUGUACAGCAGGAGACCCAGCUUCUCUAUAAGCUGGUCAGGGGAGUGAUGCCAGCCUUGGGUGGCCUGAAUCCACACUCGUCUGUUUCCCCUCAUCCUGGCCUUAGCUGCCCCUUCCAGUGGACACUGACGUCAGGAAAGGGAGCAGGGCACGGGAUGGUGGGGGAGGGCUCCCAGACCUUGUGUCCACUGGGCUGCCUGAACUGCCCCAUCCUGCCUCGGUCGCCGGGCUAGGAAAAGUACCAGACUCGCUUCCAGAGGCAAGCGCACCGCUCUACGUUUUCAAAAGCUGAUUGUCCCCAGAGCAGGAUGACCAGGAAGAGCAUCUGCCAGUGCAGAAUGGCCGACCUUCAGUGUAGGAUGGCCCUCAGAAGGCACCUUUGAUUUGGAAACUGUA